GUGAGCAGAUGUUGGACCCACAGGCCUCCACCAGCAUGCCGCCCCUAAAGCUGGCACUGCAGCAAAACGCACACGUGGAGCUGGAGAAUGGAGACAUUUGUCCUUUAUCCAAAACUCACCAAAAAUGGUGGGAGAACCAGUGGAUCGACAAAUUAGUUUGCAUCAUCCUCUGGGGACCAUGAAUCCCGGUCUCCUCAGACGGAUACAACAGGAUGAUAUUGGUAUUCAGCCCAGCCGUCUGAAUUCCGGGUAUCGGGAUUCGGUACACAGCCCAGCAGUCUGCUGCCCCUGACCUGAUGAGCUCAGACGGCUGUCCGUCCAGAUGAGAGCUCGGAUCCUUUGGGCUGGAUUUGUUCUGAUGACGGUGCAAUCCCCAGAUUGUCGUCCUGUGCCAGGCCCUAUAUGAUUAGAUCAGCAGGCAUAGAUGAAGGAUCGUGUGUGCCUUUGUGUGUGUGUGUGUGUGUGUGUGUGUGUGUGUGUGUGUGUGUGUGUGUGUGUGUAGGUGGGAGUUUGCAUGACCUGAAGGCAAAAACAUUGACCCCCG